GGAGAGAUGGCCGAGUGGCUGAUGGCGCACGCUUGGAAAGUGUGUUUACGAGCAAUCGUAACGUGGGUUCGAAUCCCACUCUCUCCGCCA
rnacentral:tRNA from 3 species